ACAUAAAAAACAUAGUAUAUAUAUAAACCAUCUCUGCAGCUUUGUUACUGCACUUCAAUCUACUCUAAAAAAUAGGUUGAUGUGAUUUUCAUCAAGAUGGCAUAAUGGAACUGAUGCAUUAGAAAUGCACUCAAUUAAAAAGGUUAUGACACAUCGAGGGCUUGUGACUCAUGGAAUAACCAUCUUAUAGUUAAAUGGCAGGCGUGGUGCCGUGUAAUUAGGCUCUCUCAAAAAAUAGGCAUCACAAAUGAUUAUACACGUCACCGUAUCUGUCAUCAUCUACAUGUACUGACUUUAACCAGAGAAGGAAACAAGCCUAGGAAAAUGAAUGGAAGAAACCAUAAUAGACUAAAACAUGGGAGCCGAAGGAAAGGAAGUCUCACCUUUUUAGUCUAAAGAGCCAAUGCAUGUGCAUUAGUUUAACCAGUCUGAAAAACAUUUUAAUGUGAUUUAAAGUUAAAUUUAUGAUACUAUUAUUUCUAGAUAUUGUUGUAAUCUUAAAAACAGUACUGGAGAUUUCAUUCCUUUACCAUUCAAGUGGAUAUGAGCAGUACUUUAUGCCUAUUACCAACAUAAAAAACCACUCCCAUUUCCAAGAUGGCCCCUUGUCUGUAAUUUAAUAUUUGUAUUUUACAAAGUAUAAUUAAAGAUGAAUAUUGUCUAGUACCAUAAAUUGCCCUCAAAUUACAAAAUAUUAAAAAAUAAAUAAUAUUUAAAGAAAAUUCAGGACAUUAAUGUCUGCAUUUCACUGCAUUAGACAAAGUAUUUAAUAAUCAAAAUAAGGCAGUUUCACUUUAUGUAAAUGUUUCAUUAAUGUUUUUGUUUACUUCAAACAUCUCUUUUAUGAUAUAAAACUUAAACUUUCUGUUAAAUGUUUUGUUUAAAAAUAUAUAUCUCUUUCAAAUAAUAUUCAUAUUUUGUUGUAUUAUAGAUUUAUAAUGGCUAAAGUCUUAAGGGAGCUUAAGGCUUUGUGAAAUCUUGGCCACCGUACAUCAAGUAAAGUAAAUAAGUGCAAUGAUGCUGCUGGUGUUGACAUAAACCACCACAAAUCAUCCAUCCAGAUUGGUUUCAAGCCGGAUUAACAUUGCAUUUUUACGACUUCGAGUAGAGCAUGAGAACACAAUAACGAAGUCUAACACAGAAUAUAAAAGUGUGUCACACCAAUUUCUCAGCAGCAGUGACAUCAGGUAAAGAAAUGGGCCUGGCUGAUCUCUGAGGUCAUACAAUUUACACCCAGCUUCCCUCCAGACAAGACACAUCAUGCUCUAGCAUGUCUCUAUGAUGGUGUAUGUCUCUGUUGUCCAAUGUCUGAAUAAUCCUCUCGCACAGAGAAUGACUUGAGAUUACGUGGCAUGGGUUUGCCCCAUCUCUCCUUCUGUUUCUUUUAUUUUCCUCACCCCUGCUGGGUCAGCAGUGCUGUUGCUCUCUCAGACCCUGGCACAGGUUGUAGGCUUUAAAUGGAGAGAUUUACCCCCCUGAUUUCCCUAGAGAGAAGGCCAUCUGCCUACUGUCACCCUGCCCAUUAUUGUGACUUCGACACAGAGCGCAUGCUCACCGACGGCAUCACAAGUCUAAAUGCCUCAGGCCAAUGACUCACGUGUGCUCUUAGACACAGACUGGCAAACAGCAUUCAUAUCCAGAAGUUUAUUAAAAGUGUGUGCUAAUUUCCACAUGCAUUAAACAUGUAUUGUAAAACGUAAUCAUCUGCAGUAAAAUACAAAAUUAGAUUUAUAUUUUGUAAAUAAAUGAAUAAUAUAUAAAUAAAUAAUAAAAUAAAUAAAUGUUAGUGGCCCUUGGGAAAAAGUAAAUAAAAGUGUGAACAAAACCUAAACACAAACAAACAAAAUUAAUGAAUAAAUAGAUAAAGGCCAUUAUAAACACACAAAUAUAAAUACACAAAAAUAAACAAAUAAAUAAAUCUAUUUAUGUCACCUGUGAAAACAACAAGUAUAAAAAACUAAAUGAAUGA
rnacentral:lncRNA from 1 species